rnacentral:lncRNA from 1 species
AAAGGCUUUGGGCAAAAAUGUAUCUGUGAGCUUAGAUCAUAGAGCUUAAAAAACUCCUUGAUAGACCCCAUCACUGUGAAGCCUUGGGAGUCUGGAGUGUAAGACAAAGGACAGACGGCGUCAAAAGAUAAACAGGGGGUUCCUUUGUAUGGGUUCCAUAUGUCAUCAAUGUGGUCUUCCCCCAUUUGGCAAUCUGCCUUCUGCUCCUUUGUCACACCUGGACCCCUGGUUCCCCGUCAGCCUCCUCAGGUUCGGUGGGGCUUUCCAAUGGCCUUCAUAGCAUCUGCUCACAGCCAUCCAGGGGUACAGGCUGGACGUCUCGGGAUUAUGUCCAGAGGGUCUGUCUGGCACAGACUGUUACAAUCUGCCUGUCCACAUCUUUCCUUCUCUCUCCAUGUCUGCUGGACUUGUUUACACCUCCCAAGGUCUUUGGCUAAGCAGAGCAAGAUUGUCUUUAUGUUCUCCCAGCGAUACACAGAAUGGUGGAAGCCAAGUAAGGGACGUGGAUACAUUAAUGGAGAGGACCUGGAGAGUAUAUAGAAACAGGGAUGGUAAGGAUAGGAAGAAAGUGCGGAGAACAACAGCAGCUGCACAAGAGCAGGACCUGGAAGGGUCCGGGGAGAGUUCUACCCCCAGUGGUUUAAUUCCUCUACACAGUCUUCCAGCCAUUCUGCCCCAAACCCAGCAUUGCCUGGGGUUAUUGUGGUCAAAGUGCAGGACCCGGCAUUUGGUCUUGUUGAACCUCAUCCCAUUGGCUUCAGCCCAGCUAUAUACCGCCUGUCCACAUCCCUCUGUAGGGCCUCACUACCCUCAGGCUGAUGGACACCUCCAGCCAGCUUGGUGUCAUCUGCAAACUCACUGAGGGUGCACUCAAUACCCUCAUCCAGGUCAUCAAUAAAGAUACUGAAGAAGAGAGGCCAAAGCACCAAACCCUGAGGAACACCACUCGUGAACGCUCGCCAGCUCGAUUUAAUUCCAUUCACCACCACUCUCUGGGUGGUGAAUCAAACAGGAGAGAGGAGAACAGGUCAGUGGGGCACCUGUUUAAGGCUGCUCUGACUCAGCCUCGGGGGCAGCCACCCAAGGGUGACUCAGAAGGGAUCCACUGUUAACUCCGUGGUAUUCACAGCACGGACUGAGCUGAUAUUUCACUGAAGGAAACAUGAACGGACCGUCCUUUUGCUGGGCACACACUCUGAGC